UUGCUUGUGACACAGUGGUGUGAGUACUGGACUAUGGCUCUGGAGACCAGGGUUCAAAUCCUUGCUGUCAUG